rnacentral:tRNA from 1 species
GAACUAAUAACUCAGUGGUAGAGUAAUCGCUUGAUAAGCGAGAGGUCAGUGGUUCAAAUCCACUUUAGGGAA